rnacentral:rRNA from 1 species
AAGCAUAUCAAUAAGCGGAGGAAAAGAAACCAACAGGGAUUGUCUCAGUAACGGCGAGUGAAGCGACAAAAGCUCAAAUUUGAAAUCUGGCGCCUUCGGUGUCCGAGUUGUAAUUUGAAGAAGGUAACUUUGGUUUUGGCUCUUGUCUAUGUUCCUUGGAACAGGACGUCACAGAGGGUGAGAAUCCCGUGCGAUGAGAUGCCCAAUUCCAUGUAAAGUGCUUUCGAAGAGUCGAGUUGUUUGGGAAUGCAGCUCUAAGUGGGUGGUAAAUUCCAUCUAAAGCUAAAUAUUGGCGAGAGACCGAUAGCGAACAAGUACAGUGAUGGAAAGAUGAAAAGAACUUUGAAAAGAGAGUGAAAAAGUACGUGAAAUUGUUGAAAGGGAAGGGUUUGAGAUCAGACUUGGUAUUUUGUAUGGCUUACUCUCGGGUGGGUCCUCUGCAGUUUAUCGGGCCAGCAUCAGUUUGGAUGGUAGGAUAAUGACAUUGGAAUGUGGCUCUGCUUCGGUAGAGUGUUAUAGCCCU